CUCUGCUUUCCCUCGGGAUUUGCUCUUUUUCGGUUUGCUUUUCAUCUGUGCUCUCUCCUUUCAGGACAGGGCAACGGGCUCUGCCCAGUCGAGCUGUCCACGCUCUCCAAAGGCUCGGCCCGGAUCCAGAGGUCACGCUGUCCUUUGUGGGGCUCAUCCGCUGUUUAAUCGGAGUUCAAACGAGCGUGUCUCCAUCCCUGGAUCUCAAAUGAAUUUGGUCGGGGCGGCUGAGCCUCCAGCCCUCCACUCCAGCCUGGCUGCACUCGUCCAGCGCAGGCAGAACGGCGAAAGGAGCAGAAGUGCCCUCCCUCGCCCUCUCCUAUUCCCUUUACUCGAUCUGCUCAAAAUAGCUGGUAUAGAGACUGACCUGACGAGGCCCUAGCGUGGAGGGCAGCACACGGAUCCCUUCAACCUCUGGAAAAAGCAGCUUUUUGGAGAACCCAGGCGUGCUCUUGAUGAGCGUCCCCCCCCGCCAGGAGCAAAUAGGUGCUUUUCGGUGAAGACACGCGUGCUUCGCUUUGGCCCACGGGUGCGAGUUUCUCAGCUCCGCGAGGGGAGACGCCGGCUGUUGCAGCUCUCCUGGCAGCCCUCCGCGGUCCCUGCAAGCCAGGAGACGGACGCAAGGAGCCGGCUGCCUCGCGAGCAAGCCCGGGAGCGGGAAUUGGGCAGGCGAGGCAUCUCUGAAUCGCGCUGGCACAAAGCCAACCGUGACGGGACCCCGAUCUCAGCUCCGUCCUCUGAGUGCUGCGAAAACUUGACUUCUCACUGCAGUUGUCCAUGGCCAUGGUGCUGCUUGGCUGCAUAGAAAGGGGCUCGAGGAAAGAUUAACCAUCAUUUUGCUAGUUGUUGUACGUGUUAGCGACAGUCGAUUACAGCUAAUUAAAUCCGCCGCUUUUAAUCCAGAAAGAUUAAAUGGCACAUUCUGCUUUGCGUCCUAGACUUGGCCCAGAGAUUAGACUGCAUCUGGGACUUCAGAGUGCAGAGCACAGUCCAGCGGUUUGUGCCCUCGACUCAGCGCCAGGCUUUGGUCUGAUGCCAGAGGCACUUUCACCGGUGUGUUAAGGACCGCGCUCCAGACCCAGGUCCCGGCGUGGACUAGGGCCAAGGGGUCCUGCAGGAUGCCCCCAGCACCCUCUCGUGAGCCCACGCUGCUGCCAGAAGCAGUUCAGGUCUGUGCCUGGGCCGGGUUACUGCCGGCUUACUGUAAGCACAGCUCAUCUCUGGGCAGCUGGUCUGAACCUGCCUGGGAAGGAGCCAUGUGAAACCCUGGGAAUAAACCACCCGCCUCCUUGCGGGACCUGCAAAUCUCGCCCAGCAGAGCCCGACUCACAUCGCUAUGAGGGAUGCAAGCAGAUGUUGCCGCGUAAUUAGCAGCCUUCGUACGCGAGGGUGACCAUUCUCAACCCCUUACACAACCAGGCCUGCCUGCGCACGGCUCUGGCAAUGCGAAAUGCUUUCCACGGGCGUAAAGCAGCACCGCUUCGCUCAAAUCGGUAUCGCACAGCGCUGCUUCACCCUGCAGAGCAGGAGCUGGCCUGCGACGUCAAAGAUUGGUUAAGCCGCAAGGACAAAUACCCUCUUGUAAAAGCUAGAGCUUUACAAGAGAGAGAGAGAGUUUACAGGAGAGUUGCCUAGCAAAUACCAGCAGCACGUUAAGCAAUCAGUCUUACUUGAUUGUUAUAAAGAACAACACGUCUACACAGCAUUUUUCCAAGUGAGACCCUGAAUUGAGGCUGAUGCUUCUGUGACCGUGGAGUGCUUUCUCCCAUCCCAAAUUGGCUCUGUUAAUCUGAUCAUUUCAUUGUUCGUCGUCCAGAAAACGACAGCCCUGCUCUAACGCGGACUGGACCUCGAUAUCGCCAACAGCGUGGACAACACUAGGGACUGCUUUCUCGAGCCAAGUGCCUUGCUGUGCUCACCAAUGGAGCAGAGCCGGCUCUGCGCCCUGGAGGGAGGCAGUACGGGUUCAGUAGCUGGCGUGAUUACCUCGGCGAGACGUCUGACAGGCAUCGCAGCGACAGCUGGAGCUAUUCCUCUUUGUCUAGGAUGGGAGGUUUGGGGGUAGAGUCUAGGGGCGUAGGAAAGUCUUUUCUCUGCGGUGGCUUUGUCUGGGCUCAGGAACCAUCAGGAAACGCCACUAAGGGGACCUGGACCCAGAGAUACUUUGAGAGGCCCAGGCCAGGUGAGAAAAAGCAGUUCAAAAGCCUGGCUGGAAAAUGAUUUCACCGUGCCGGCAUUUUGUACGUGUGUGCAUACUCCCGGGCUGCAGGGCUUGUCCUGGCUGGCCUCGUUUCUGACACAGAGGCAAGUCAAAACCCACCAUGCAGCAGGAGAU